rnacentral:lncRNA from 1 species
UUGUAUCAAAACCUAGAUAUCUCCCAAUUACACUAUUAGAUUAUAAAAAAAAUUCACAUACACUUAGCAUGCCUAAUUAACCAAACACUAUCAAAUUUUGAAUUCUAGAUGUGAUAUCAAUUUCACGAAGUAAUGAAGAUUGCUAGCCCUAAUUGUAUUGCAUAAAUUCCAAGUCACUAAUACAAAUCCUAAUUUUGAACAACAAUUGCCUAGUGAAAUCAAACCUUAUAAAAACAAAACUUAUGUAUUUGAAACAAGCUUCAAGCUAAUUCUUCAAUUCUAAUUGUCGAUCUUUGAAUACCUCCUUAGUUUGUCCUAAGUCAUCA